rnacentral:rRNA from 1 species
AUACGUAGGGUGCAAGCGUUAAUCGGAAUUACUGGGCGUAAAGCGUGCGCAGGCGGUUUUGUAAGACAGUGGUGAAAUCCCCGGGCUCAACCUGGGAACUGCCAUUGUGACUGCAAGGCUGGAGUGCGGCAGAGGGGGAUGGAAUUCCGCGUGUAGCAGUGAAAUGCGUAGAUAUGCGGAGGAACACCGAUGGCGAAGGCAAUCCCCUGGGCCUGCACUGACGCUCAUGCACGAAAGCGUGGGGAGCAAACAGGAUUAGAUACCCUGGUAGUCCACGCCCUAAACGAUGUCAACUGGUUGUUGGGGAUUUAUUUUCUCAGUAACGAAGCUAACGCGUGAAGUUGACCGCCUGGGGAGUACGGCCGCAAGGUUAAAACUUAAAUGAAUUGGCGGGG